GUACUGUUGAACUGUAUCGCUAUUCUCUGAUUUAUACAUUACUGGACGGAAUAGUUGAAUUCGUGACAAAAUCUCAGAACUUUGGGCCAAUGUUGCGGAAAGAAGAAUCUUCUGAAGUGGUACAUAGUGAGGAUGAAGAUAAUCCUUAAGGCGAAUACGGGAAUUCAGUGGAAUUCUUUUCACGUAGUAAUCACAACGACUGCUGAUCAUUCGAGUUGUCGCUGGAAAAUGUUUAUCACUUGUGAGAUUGUAAAAUUCAAAAUUUCUGUCCAAUGCCAUCCGGUUCUAUUUUGUUGGUUUUCGAACCGGAGAUAAUGAUUGAAAGGAACAGACGGGGGCAUUCGUAUUGCUGCGUUAGAGGUGAAAUUCUUGGAUCGCAGCAAGAUGAACAAUUGCGAAAGCAUUUGCCAAGAAUGUUUUCAUUAAUCAAGAACGAAAGUUAGAGGUUCGAAGGCGAUCAGAUACCGCCCUAGUUCUAACGGUAAACUAUGCCAACCAGCGAUUCGCCGAAGUUCAUUUAAGACUCGGCGAGCAGCUUCCGGGAAACCAAAGUGUUUCGGUUCCGGGGGAAGUAUGGUUGCAAAGCUGAAACUUAAAGGAAUUGACGGAAGGGCACCACCAGGAGUGGAGCCUGCGGCUUAAUUUGACGCAACACGGGAAAACUCACCCGGCCCGGACACUGGAAGGAUUGACAGAUUGACAGCUCUUUCUUGAUUCAGUGGGUAGUGGUGCAUGGCCGUUCUUAGUUGGUGGAGCGAUUUGUCUGGUUAAUUCCGAUAACGAACGAGACUCUACCCUAUUAAAUAGUGACAGUAUUGUAUUUUUUGUGCUGAUCACUUCUUAGAGGGACUGGCAAAUUGAAAGCUGCACGAAAAAGAGCAAUAACAGGUCUGUGAUGCCCUUCGAUGUCCGGGGCUGCACGCGCGCUACAAUGAAAGCGUCAACGUGAGUUACGUCCUUACCUGAAAAGGUUUGGCAAUCGAAUGAAACGUUUUCUUGAAUGGAAUAGGGAAUUGCAAUUGUUUCCCUUGAACGAGGAAUUCCCAGUAAGCGUGAGUCAUUAGCUCGCGUUGAUUACGUCCCUGCCCUUUGUACACACCGCCCGUCGCUACUACCGAUUGGAUGAUUUAGUGAGGUGUUUUGACUGGCGCCAGUAGUCGGAUGUAUUCGGCUUCGCGCCGGGAAAUUUCCCAAACCAAAUCAUCUAGAGGAAGUAAAAGUCGUAACAAGGUUUCCGUAGGUGAACCUGCGGAAG
rnacentral:rRNA from 1 species